AUUGAACGCUGGCGGCAGGCCUAACACAUGCAAGUCGAGCGGUAGAGAGGUGCUUGCAUCUCUUGAGAGCGGCGGACGGGUGAGUAAUGCCUAGGAAUCUGCCUAGUGGUGGGGGAUAACGUUCGGAAACGGACGCUAAUACCGCAUACGUCCUACGGGAGAAAGCGGGGGGAUCUUCGGACCUCGCGCCAUUAGAUGAGCCUAGGUCGGAUUAGCUAGUUGGUGAGGUAAUGGCUCACCAAGGCGACGAUCCGUAACUGGUCUGAGAGGAUGAUCAGUCACACUGGAACUGAGACACGGUCCAGACUCCUACGGGAGGCAGCAGUGGGGAAUAUUGGACAAUGGGCGAAAGACCUGAUCCAGCCAUGCCGCGUGUGUGAAGAAGGUCUUCGGAUUGUAAAGCACUUUAAG
rnacentral:rRNA from 1 species